rnacentral:rRNA from 1 species
UCCGGUGACUAUGGCGGGAGGGUCACACCUGUUCCCAUUCCGAACACAGAAGUUAAGCCUCCUUGCGCCUAUGGUACUGCCAGGCUUCCUGGUGGGAGAGCGGGUCGUCGCCGGAU